AACUGCGCUAUCCUGAAUGAGUCACUUAAUAGCAUCUGCUUCCCCCUCCGCGUCGGCUUUUGCUCUUUAACUCUAGGGUACGGGAGGAGGCUUUGGUGCCAAAUGAAGGCGAAAGAAUUGCCCUAGUUAAUGGGCUGCUCCAAAACUAGAGAAUUUCACCUGAACUCGUGGAUUGAACACUGGAAAAGAAGGCAGGAGCCUAGCAUGGCUGCCCUCUGAGAGACCCAACAAGCAGCUGAAAGAGUCAGAUGUGUAUACUUACAGUCAACCAAUGGACACGAGCUGAGGGCUCCUGUGGUUAAAUUAUGGAAAAGCUGGAAGAAACUGAGGAGGAGGGCGACCCCAUGAGAAGACCAGCUGUCUCAACUAACCUGGCCCCCUGAGAUCUCUCACACACUGAGCCACCAACCAGGCAGCAUACACCAGCUGAAAUGAGACCCCCAAAACAUAUAGAGCAGAGGACUGCCUGGUCUGGCCCCAGUGAAAGAAGAAGCACCUUACUCUGGAAGGACCUGAGGCUCCAAUCAUUGUCUCACACAGAUAAUGUGGCAGAAGAAGUUCUGGAUUUAGAAGCUAUCUUCCAGCUUCCUCACUGACUGUGCCCUCCCUGAAGUAUAAAAGAAGAUAAACAGCAAACUGUCUUCCGAAGCCUGAAAUGUUUAAAUCUUGUAUUGAUUGGCUAGAUAAUUCAUGGGGAGCCUCUUUUCUCAGCCUGUGAAGUCUGAAACAGAUUUUAUCACUACAAACCAUUAAAGCUCACCCUUAGCAGGUGGAUUGUGCACAUGGGUCUCUGACCAACAACCAGGAAUCCAACUUCCUUAUCGGAGAGAAGAGAAUUUAUGUUGAAAAGAAAAACUUACUGAAAUAACCAUGAUGAUACAGCAUGUUUUCUUCCAAAUUUCAUACUUUACGUGCAUGUCUCAACUGACAAGUGUGCAUGGGACUUAGAACACCGUAUUAACAUUUUAUUUACAUAUACAUUUUAUUUACAUGCCAUGUGUAAUACUCAGUCAUGAUGGUCAAUCUUACGGGAUUUGCAGUCACCAUAGAAAUAAAUAUCUGGGCAUGUCUGUGAGGAAAUCUCUAAACUGGGUUAGUUGAUGUGGGAAGAUUUACCCUAAAUGUAGUCAGCACCACUCCACAGUCAAGAAUCAGGGACUGAAUAAAAUAAAGAAAAGCAUCAGAUUGAAUCCCAGAAGUCAUCUCUGUCUCUGGUUCCUGACUGGGAAUGUAGUAUAGUGAUGUCAUCAUGAUGGGCUUUGUCCCCUCAAACUGUGAGACAGAGUACUGUCUCCCUCCCUUCAGUUUCUCUCUGUAAAUUACUUGUCUCAACAAUAAGGAAAGUAGCAGUGACUGCUUUAAAGAUGUGGCCCCACUUAGCCCACGGUGUUAUUUGGCAAAGGGAAUGCAAAUACAUUGAUGGCAAAGAGCAUGCAAAUUUGGGGAACCAAAUGAGCCAUCAUCAACCAAGGACUGCAUUAGUUACAUUAGGGACUGUUGUAAUGCUUGGAGAUGAAGGCGGCAAUAAAAUAAAGCACAUAAAUGAUCAUUGUGUUUUGAUACACAUUUAGUAACAUUUAUUGUAGUUAAACUUUUUGGAAUCCUUUUUUUCUUAAAGAUAAUAGAAUUAGGAUGUAAAA